rnacentral:rRNA from 1 species
GACGAACGCUGGCGGCGUGCCUAAUACAUGCAAGUCGAACGCAGUGGGGACGGGUGAGUCACACGUGGGUAACCUCCCAUCAGAGGGGAUAACACUUGGAAACAGGUGCUAAACCGAUACUGAUGGAUGGUACCGCGGUGCAUUAGCUAGUUGGUGAGGUAACGGCUCAACAAGGCAACGAUGCAUAGCCGACCUGAGAGGGUGAUCGUCCACACUGGGAAUGUGACACGGCCCAGACUCCACCGGUAGUCAGCCGUAUGGAAUCUUCGCCAAUGGACGAAAGUCUGACCGAGCAACUCCGCGGGAGUGAAGAAGGUUUUCGGAUCUUAAAACUAUGUUGUUAGAGAAGCGGUAUCUAACCAGAGAGCCACGGCUAACUACGUGCCAGCAGCCGCGGUAAAUC